rnacentral:misc_RNA from 1 species
GAGUUAGGGUUCCGCUUGUCGGGCCCGAACCUCCCAACCCUUUGUCUAAUUUACCUUGUCGUUGCUUCGGCGGACCGGUUGACCGACUGGUCUUGACCGCCGGGGUCCGUCCCUGGAGAGCGUCCGCCGACGGCCCAACCACAAACUCUUGUACCAAACCAUGUCGUCUGAAUUACUUGAUUAAAAUCAAAAACAAAACUUUCAACAACGGAUCUCUUGGUUCU